AAGCACAACGGGCAGCGACUGCACGCUGAGAAGGAUGGAGUCCAGUUUCUCUUCCAGAGCUGCGAUCCUCCUGUCCAGCUCCUCGCUGCGAUGCUGCAGCUCCAACACCAGAUCAUACAUCAUGUUCUGAGUCUGGAAACCAACAGGGGAGCACAGUUCAUACAUCUGACUUUACAGCAUGUUGUGGUGCAUUUGAAGAGACAGCAGGGCAAACCCCCUUCCCACAGUAGGUGUGAGGGACCAUGUCGCCGUAGCCGAUGGACAGGAAGGUGAUGGAGAUCAGCCACAUUGCUCCAAGGAAGGAAGAAAAGGAAGAGUGAGAGAUUCAAAAGUUUUGAGUUAAUACCUCUCACAUACGCGCACAGUCCACGCUGCGAUGAUCCAGCAGGACACGCUGAAGACCAGCAGGACCGUGCCGG